rnacentral:rRNA from 1 species
GAUGAACGCUGGCGGCGUGCCUAAUACAUGCAAGUCGAGCGAACAGACGAGGAGCUUGCUCCUCUGACGUUAGCGGCGGACGGGUGAGUAACACGUGGAUAACCUACCUAUAAGACUGGGAUAACUUCGGGAAACCGGAGCUAAUACCGGAUAAUAUAUUGAACCGCAUGGUUCAAUAGUGAAAGACGGCUUUGCUGUCACUAAUAGAUGGAUCCGCGCCGCAUUAGCUAGUUGGUAAGGUAACGGCUUACCAAGGCAACGAUGCGUAGCCGACCUGAGAGGGUGAUCGGCCACACUGGAACUGAGACACGGUCCAGACUCCUACGGGAGGCAGCAGUAGGGAAUCUUCCGCAAUGGGCGAAAGCCUGACGGAGCAACGCCGCGUGAGUGAUGAAGGUCUUCGGAUCGUAAAACUCUGUUAUUAGGGAAGAACAAAUGUGUAAGUAACUAUGCACGUCUUGACGGUACCUAAUCAGAAAGCCACGGCUAACUACGUG